rnacentral:rRNA from 1 species
UACAGAGGUCCCAAGCGUUGUCCGGAUUCAUUGGGCGUAAAGGGUGCGUAGGCGGCGCGGGAAGUCGGGUGUGAAAUCUCGGAGCUUAACUCCGAAACUGCAUUCGAUACUGCCGUGCUUGAGGACUGGAGAGGGGACUGGAAUUUACGGUGUAGCGGUGAAAUGCGUAGAUAUCGAGAGGAACACCUGCGGCGAAGGCGGGUUGCUGGGCUGACACUGACGCUGAGGCGCGAAAGCCAGGGGAGCGAACGGG